rnacentral:rRNA from 1 species
UACGGGGGGAGCAAGCGUUGUUCGGAUUUACUGGGCGUAAAGGGCGCGUAGGCGGCCAGCACAAGUCAGUUGUGAAAUCUCCGAGCUUAACUCGGAAAGGUCAACUGAUACUGUGCGGCUAGAGUGCGGAAGGGGCAACUGGAAUUCUUGGUGUAGCGGUGAAAUGCGUAGAUAUCAAGAGGAACACCUGCGGCGAAGGCGGGUUGCUGGGCCGACGCUGACGCUGAUGCGCGAAAGCCAGGGGAGCGAACGGG